CACCACACAGAGCCGCAUCUCCUCUCCUCGCGCUCUCUCCGCAUCCUCCACCAUCAGCGCCGCAUCUCCUCCUCGGCGUCCUAGCGCUCUCUCGCCCCCUCGCCGCCGUGCGCCUCCCCCUCGCUCCCUCGCCGCCGUGCGCCGGAUUUUUCAUUGAAUCGACGCGCUCCUUCUCCGGACUAGGGAGGGGAGGCGCGGCGAUGGGCGCCGGCGCGGCGAUGUGGGGGAGGCGCGACGAGGGAGGGGUGGCGCGGCGAUUUUUCGCAAUACGGAGGGGCGCGCGGUGCGAUGGUGGUGCGGACUACGGAGGAGGGUCGCGCCUCCCCCACAUCGCCGCGCCGGCGCCCACCGCUCUCCACCGCGUCUCCGCCGCCCAUCGCUCUCCACCGCGCCGCCAUUGCGCCUACGCCCUCCCUCUCUUUCAGGUCGCCUCCCCCGCCGAUUACCUCGCGAUUCCCAACCCUAACCCCCGCCGCCGGCGCGUAGCGCCGCCGCCGCCCCUGCUGCCCAGGAUCCCCCCGCCUUUUCUCCUUCCGCCCACCUGCCACCGACGCCGCCACCCCUGGCAGUGACUCCUCCUCCCCGCCGCCAACGCCACCGCCGUCGACGCCUACUCCUGUGGCAGUGUGGAGGACUGCUGCUUCCCUGUCUCCAUCAGACAGAGGAAUACCGGACAGUUUUUUUUCUUUCUUUUCUUCUGUUGGGGUGGGUUCAUUUCAGAAAUACCCAAUUUGUUAGGUUGACCACAUGUCCCCAUUUUGAUCUGCAAGGUCACAGACAAUUCUCUUGUAAUGUGUAUGUGCAUUGUUUGUCAGAAACCUGUCGAAUGGGAGGCACCAUCAUAAUUAUAUGAUCUAAUAAUAUGAAGUAACCAUCAACUGAUCUGAGUGUGGAGAUAGAGAAGCUUUUCUUGAUUGAAGCAUUUUAAGACUUGUACUACACCAGAUGUGCCCCCUUGAGAAACAAAGGUUAGUGUUCUGCUAUCGAGUUUUUUUUUAGAUUGUAGCAAAUAGAGAUUUUGUUAAUUUUUAAUCAAAUGUGAAGCUAAACUUCUCAUUAAUCUGGGAUUGUUUUCCAUAAUUGUCCCGGUGUCAGAGAUUGACAAUUGAUUUCACAACCAAAUGAAAGGUAGUGUUUUUCUGGGAAUGCCAUCAGGGGCGCAGAUCUGAGUGUAGUCAAAAUCCUUCAAUUUUUCAAAUCCGUUUGGUAAAAGUUACCACUUUCUGAAUUCCAUGCAAGGACUGACUUAUGAAAAUUUUACUGUAUAUUAUUGUUCUAUAAUUUGUUUAUAAAAGUAAUGCAGUAAUGCUAUAGGAAUGAUGGGACCCUAGGAGUUAGUGGCAUAUAUCAUCGACACACUUGCAUGGCCAGGGGAAUUAUAACUCAGGUGCUCACCGAGGAUCAACUGUCCAGGAUCCAGGAUUUUUAGCAUUUGUUUUAUUGAACGCUGGAAUUACUUUUCUCCUCGUGCCAUCUAAAGGUAACUUCAAAGCUAAAUGGCUGGCCAUGUAUAAUCCUAGGAGCAUAAAUAUUUUUACAAACUAUAUAAAUUUCUUUGUGAAAUUUUAAUAGUGAUUCAGUGUUGCAACGGGAAAUGCUAUAUACAUGGCCAGCCAUUUAUAUUCAGUGUUUAAGUCGAUAUAUUGACCACAGAUUUGGUUUAUAUCAGUAAAUGGCCAUGUUUUUUUCCCAAGUUAUGUUUCUAAAUAUGUAGACUGUGGUACGAUAUUUAUAAAGUUCAAGUUGUCUUUGUUUCCCAGAAAAUCUUAGGUCUAGCAGACUUACUUAGUUUCUGUUUACAAAUGAAUAAUCGGGUAGUGAAUACUAUACCUGUAUAUUUGUACUACUCUCUUAUUUAGUAAUGUAUCUAAAAUAAUGUAGACUGUACUACAAUAUUUAUUUAGAUGCAUAUGCUCAAUUUUUAUAUAAGUAUAUGCUGCUUUUACAUUACUUUUGUUUGAAUGUACAUGCUGAUAUGAAAUUUGGAGAGCUUUCUUGGAAUGUACGCUGUUAAGAAAAUUUAGAUAAAUUAAAUCCUUAUGCCUUAUAUUGUUUCUUAAACACACCUAUAAGUUUGAUUGGAGAAGGGGACAUUAACCAAUUGCUUGAAAAAGGUGUUUUGUUAGCUCAAGAUAUGGUGGAAUAUUUACAACUGUUUUAGUAACUCCCAGAUAAUCUUUCUCUACAUACAUGCAUAACUAAUUUCUCUAGGAUAAUGACACAUUUCUGAUUCGUUAAGGGCAAACUUUGAAGUACAUCUGUUAUGCGCGAGAUAUUCAGUUUAUAUUUCUAAACUUGGGUGCACUUUGAAUCAGGACGAAUAGGCUCAGUUGGAUCAGUUGAAUAUAAAGAAGUGGUGUGCGAUUAGUUUUUUUUGUAAAUAGCUCAAGUUAGUUUUCUUCCUUGUAGGAUAGUUACAAAAAAAUAAGGUAAACUUGCAUUUCUUGCAUGAGCAAAGUUCAUUACAACCUAUCUAAGUAUAAUUUCCUGAAGAGUGUUUAUAGCUGAAGUUGUUUCUUCUAAUUUUGCUGAGGUUAACCCUCCUAUGGCAUGCAUCCUUCUAAAUUUUGCUGAGGUAAACCCUCCUGAAAUUAGUAGGGUGCACGAAAUACUACUGUUUUUUUAAUUUUUGUACAGUGGCAUUGAACAUGGUUUUGCUCUUUGAGAUAUGAUGCUUCCCUCAUGAUCAAUGAAGAUUUGCAUUACUUUAGGUGAUCUGCUCAUGUUUGGGUGUUUGGGUAAGGAGGAGAAGAAAUGGCUGGGGUGUCGGUGGUAAUGAGGUUGUUGUUUCAGUUAUACAGUUCCGCAUAAUUGUGUGACGUCCUGACUAAUCCUGACUAAUCUGUAUGACCUUUUCUUCCAUUUACAAAUGCUUGUGUCUCUCCAGUUCACCUGUGAGGGAGAUAUGAAAUCAGGUAUGAGUAAUUCUUGUGGUUUUGCUUCUUUUUCUGGACACACUUAUUUUCAUCCAUUUUGCAGCAAGCAAUAGUUAGGUAUGAGAAAGAAUGUGCCUUACAAUUAACUGUCAGUGGUACACAUAAAACUAUUCAUUUACUCUUCUUUCCUGGUCAUAUUGAUACAGGUUAGUUUAUGCUCUUACUCGAAAAAAAAAACAAAGUACAUGGUCUUACUAUUUGACCGUUUGAUUAAUUAUAUAAGUUUCUGAGAAAGCCCUGAAUUCGAUGUACUAGACUCGAUUGUUAUAGGCAACUAAGUAAAAAAAACAAGGUGAUCCAAUAAAGUAUUAAAACACCCAUGGAUCAUGUUGCUACCCUGUGGUGAUGAAAAGAGACAUAAGUGCUAGCUACUAUUUUUUGUUUAAUCAUGAAACAGAGGCUUCAUGAAACCAGAUCAAGCAAGUCAAAUGGGAUUGCAUCAUAGGUAAGAUCAAAGUUUUCCCCUUUUUGACAUCAACAGCGUAUUCUUUUGUCUGUAGAGAUUGUAUAUUUGUUUUCAUUCAUAGAGGUUACAUCAUAUCCAAGAGAGUGCCAAAUCUGUCAUGUAGCAUUUGUCUUUUUUUUUUUACCCGGCCUCUACAUCCAACUGGAUAUAUGCAACCUUUUUAAAUUAAGAACUUAGCCCUCAAAUAACCCAAUCUGAAAUUCGCUCCUAUAGCGAUUUAAAUUCAGGACCUUGGGGUGCUACUCAGGUUACUGCAACCAUUAGGCUACAUACCCUUUUACAUGUUGCAUUUGUCUAGAUUAUUGCAUUUAUAAGCAGUAAAUCUUUUUCGGAGCAAAUAGCAUUUGUGCAGUGACCAAGGGUACUAUCUUCUUGAUUUGCUUGCAGUCUCCCAUUGUUUGCUGAGACCAUCAAUACUCUUGCAUGGAUGAUGGUUCAAUUGAAUAAUUAGGAACUGCAAUACUGGACGAGGCUUGUUUGAGUUUUCUUUAGUUCUCUUCAAUAAGUUACCUCUUUAAUUAUAUGGCUUCAAACUUUUUCAUAUUCCCGAGAGCAUGUCUGUAUGGCACCAAACUGUUCACCUGAGCAAAUGGUCCAAUAAUGAAUUGUGCUUUGUCAUGGUACGUUGCUAACUGUUUGGGCCUUCUGGUGCAAUUUUAUCAUUGAGAUAUUUUGUGCAGUGAUGAAAUGCAUAUUUGUAUUGUACGAUACUUUUAUAUUAUCAAUAGUAAUUUACUUUAAUUAUUUUUUCAAUUUUAAAAGUUGACCUGUUAAAUGAGGUUUCACAGGUGCAUUAAAAUUUAUUGUGUUACAAUGAAACCUGUUGCUACAACAAUCCUAGGAUAUCAAUGUGUUACCUAGGUGCACUUCUUGGGUGAUGAGUUGUGGGAGUUGUCCAUAUCCUCCUGGAAAAUGUGUUGACAGGUUAUGCGAGGUUCUAGGACAGAGACAUGGGGAUAUAGUUCUAGGACGGAAAUAUGGGGAGAGAUAUGUAUAUCGUUAGGCGUGAAGUUCUGAUGGUAAAUUUAUGGAGAAAAAUUUGAUAUUGACCGAAUGUAUCUGUGUGCAAAUUGUAGAUAAAAGAAUGUCAAAUGUUCUGUUUUGGAGAAGACAUGAAACAAUUCGUGUUAUAAUAUUGGUGCAUAUACCUUUUAUGCAAAUAUUUAAUUAAUUUAUAUUCUGUGCAUAUAUAAGAUGCGAUUAAUUGCUCCAUCUAAAUUUACUACUCCCUUUCACAAAAAUUAAAACAUAUGAUUUUUUGAAUUAUUUUAAUUUACUACUCUCUUUCACAAAAAUUAAAACAUGCGAUUUUUGAAUUAUUUUAUCUUGGGGUUUUGCGUUUGACUACAAUUUUAUAUUUCAACAACUUUAUAAAAUACAAUAAAUUUGUGAUAAAGGGGAGUUAUUAUUUUAAUGAUAAAUAUGGGCAGAUCAUUUAGCAUUCGGAUAAAGACAUGUAUAUCUUGCUUGGAUAUUUGUAUUUUAGACAUGUUUUGAAUAUGUUUCUUCAAAAGUUAUUUUGAUUUGUAUUGUUAAAUAUUACCGUAGCGUUAGCACGGGCAGAUUACUAGUUCGACGAAGGCAAGAGAUGAGGGAGGUAAAAUAGACUUAUUCCCACUCAAAAAGCUUAAAAUGACAUAAGCCCGAUACUAAACUAAAGGCCCAUUAUUAGUAUAAAACACUGCUGGCCCACCGCGUUCUUCCGCCUUUACUGUAGGAGUGUUAGGUUUAGGGCUUCCGCCGCCGCCUCCUCCUCCAAAACCUCGUCGGCGCGCCGCCGCGGCCAAGCCGCUGUGCUGUACAAGAACCGGUUCGGCGACAACGUAAGUUCCGUGCCCGACGAGCCACCAGGUAGAUGGGGAAGGCAAAGCGUGCGUCGAUUUUUAUCAGGCUUGUUUCAGCAGCUGGAACCGGGUUUUUCUAUGUGAAGCGCAAGAAUCCUCGUCGGAUCACAGAGAAGCUUGAAUUUAGGAAGUAUGAUCCACGAGUUAACAAGCAUGUUCUCUUUACAGAAGCAAAGAUGAAGUGAGAUGGUGCUGGGCAAAUCUUCUCCACAAUGUGCAAAGCUGAAUAACCUGCAAAAAAAACUCGUGUCAGGAUUCAGGAACCUGUCUACUGUUAAGAAUGCUAUGAUCAGUUUAUCACCCUGUUCUGGUUCCAGCGUUUUAUGCAGACAAUUUCAACAAGUAUGAGUUUGAUCUUGAUUAGCACUGGAAUUCUGAUGUUAUGCAUGUUGGUUUUGUUUUUUGGAAUGGGCUGUAAGCCUGCAAACUAGGAAUGCUUUGAUUGUUUUACCAUAUCCCCGUUAAAGCAAAAUUCUAUCAUGGCAACUUGUAGAUAGGAUUCACCAUACUGAAUUUGACUGUAUGUAUUCCUUUAAACAUGUUUGUCAAUACCUGGAAGUUAUCUUGAAUUUGGCCA